UGGGGAAUAUUGGACAAUGGGCGCAAGCCUGAUCCAGCCAUGCCGCGUGAGUGAUGAAGGCCCUAGGGUUGUAAAGCUCUUUCACCGGUGAAGAUAAUGACGGUAACCGGAGAAGAAGCCCCAGCUAACUUCGUGCCAGCAGCCGCGGUAAUACGAAGGGGGCUAGCGUUGUUCGGAUUUACUGGGCGUAAAGCGCACGUAGGCGGACUAUUAAGUCAGGGGUGAAAUCCCGGGGCUCAACCCCGGAACUGCCUUUGAUACUGGUAGUCUUGAGUUCGAGAGAGGUGAGUGGAAUUCCGAGUGUAGAGGUGAAAUUCGUAGAUAUUCGGAGGAACACCAGUGGCGAAGGCGGCUCACUGGCUCGAUACUGACGCUGAGGUGCGAAAGCGUGGGGAGCAAACAGG
rnacentral:rRNA from 1 species